rnacentral:lncRNA from 1 species
GGAACUUUGCCCUUCCAUCUCAGGAAUAAACUCAAAACAGGUGAACACUUCCUAAGAGCAAAUGUACUCUGGUGCCAAUGUUGUGUACCAUGUAUAAGCACGAUCGGUAAGGCUUUUCGAAAACUCUCUGAGACGGACCCAAAGCAUCAAUGAAGCGGUUGACAUGCUCUUUUGGGCUUCCUUUCCUUCCGUCAAAAAGAACGAUGCUUAGUGCCUUAUAACCUUUGGGAUACGGUUGUUGGAGUAGGCUUGAUGGAUACGGUGGUUGAGGAACAUAUUUCUAAUCC